ensembl:lncRNA
CAAAAGAUUUUGCACCUGUUAUUGUUGGACCUCUGUGUGGAAACUGCAAACGGGACAUCAUAAGAUAUAUAUUUUACACGGGGAGGGGCGAGAACCAGGCGCAACGACAGUCUUUGUCUUUUUUUUUCCCCGCCGAGUGUGGUGCAUUGUCCUCCUGCGCUUCUGUUCUAUGACUGUCAAGUCAAACCGAGUAGGAGGUGAAGCCCUGAGGGAAAACGUAAACGUGACAGACUGGAGGGCGGAACUAAUCUUGUGUCUGGGUUUCUGUCGGGAAGAAAAAGAAAGGCGAACUGGGAAGCAAUAGGAAGGUGCCACUUUCGGGAAAAGCCCAGUAUAAUUCCUUCAAUAAGUUGUCGCCAACAUGAAUAUUGUGUGGAACUGAAGUAUCUACAAAGCCAGGGAGGCAGCCGGUAAGGGAAUGGUUGCUGACUAUGGUAAAAGACUUUGAAGGUUUUCACCUAUGGCUGACUGUGGCCGAAAAGAAGAUUAAAGAAAAGGAAAAACAAAAGAUCUGCCUGGUCAUUGAGUGAAACCCAGUUAAACACCUGUGGUAGAUGCAUCAAUCCCUUUCAAGCGGGGAAGCUGCACAAACUUAGAGAGUUUGACUAAGCAGCAGGUAAAAAUACACAUUAUG